AGACAAUUAUGCUGUUAGUGUUACAAUUGCGAGUGUUUUUGGCGGCCUUAUCUUAGGCAUUGUCCUUACUGUUGUUGCGACCAUCAUCUACAAAUAUAUAAGAAACGGGAAACCCAAGGCUGGAAAAAAACAAGACCAAAAAGUUGAAUUUUUUAACAACACUUCUUAUGAAACUGAGAGAGAAGCACAUCAGAACCACUCUAUUGUGCAAAGUACAAAUGAGAGAAAGGUUGUAAAUGUGCCACCGUUUGCUCAUUCUAUGGAUAUAC